CCCCAAUACCGCUGGAAAUUAAGCAUAUCAAUAAGCGGAGGAAAAGAAACCAACUGGGAUUGCCCUAGUAACGGCGAGUGAAGCGGCAACAGCUCAAAUUUGAAAUCUGGCCUUUAGGCCCGAGUUGUACUUUGUAGAGGGUGCUUUGGCAUUGGUAGUGGUCUAAGUUCCUUGGAACAGGACGUCCUAGAGGGUGAGAAUCCCGUAUGUGGUUGCUUACCUUUGCCGUGUAAAGCCCCUUCAACGAGUCGAGUUGUUUGGGAAUGCAGCUCUAAAUGGGAGGUAAAUUUCUUCUAAAGCUAAAUACUGGCCAGAGACCGAUAGCGCACAAGUAGAGUGAUCGAAAGAUGAAAAGCACUUUGGAAAGAGAGUCAAAUAGCACGUGAAAUUGUUGAAAGGGAAGCGCUUGCAGCCAGACUUGCCCGCAGUUGCUCACCUAGGCUUUUGCUUGGGGCACUCUUCUGCGGGCAGGCCAGCAUCAGUUUGGGCGACCGGAUAAAGACCUCUGUCAUGUAUCUUCCUUUGGGAUGACCUUAUAGGGGAGGUGUAAUGCGGCCAGCCCAGACUGAGGUCCACGCUUUUUGCUAGGAUGCUGGCAUAAUGGCUGUAAGCGGCCCGUCUUGAAACACGGACCAAGGAGUCUAACAUCUAUGCGAGUGUUUGGGUGUCAAGCCCGGGCGCGCAAUGAAAGUGAACGGAGGUGGGAACCUUUGGGUGCACCAUCGACCGAUCCUGAUGUCUUCGGAUGGAUUUGAGUAAGAGCAUAGCUGUUGGGACCCGAAAGAUGGUGAACUAUGCUUGAAUAGGGUGAAGCCAGAGGAAACUCUGGUGGAGGCUCGCAGCGGUUCUGACGUGCAAAUCGAUCGUCAAAUUUGGGCAUAGGGGCGAAAGACUAAUCGAACUAUCUAGUAGCUGGUUCCUGCCGAAKUUCCCSUCGGMGRAUAWAAA
rnacentral:rRNA from 1 species